AGAGGCGGAAGCGGAGUCGGCCUGAGAGGUCUCUCGUCGCUGCAGGCGCCUCAGCCCAGCCGCGUGCCUUGGCCCAUGGCCGCCUACUCUUACCGCCCCGGCCCUGGGGCCGGCCCUGGGCCUGCUGCAGGCGCGGCGCUGCCGGACCAGAGCUUCCUGUGGAACGUUUUCCAGAGGGUCGAUAAAGACAGGAGUGGAGUGAUAUCAGACACCGAGCUUCAGCAAGCUCUCUCCAACGGCACGUGGACUCCCUUUAAUCCAGUGACUGUCAGGUCGAUCAUAUGCCGAGGACGAUGAUCCCGCCGGGGGAGUGCACGUACGCGGGCCGGAAGCGGAGGAGGCCCCUGCAGAAACAGAGGCCCGCCGUGGGGGCAGAGAAGUCCAACCCCUCCAAGCGACACCGGGACCGCCUCAACGCCGAGUUGGACCACCUGGCCAGCCUGCUGCCGUUCCCGCCUGACAUCAUCUCCAAGCUGGACAAGCUUUCUGUCCUGCGCCUCAGUGUCAGUUACCUCCGGGUGAAGAGCUUCUUCCAAGUCGUGCAGGAGCAGAGCUCACGGCAGCCUGCGGCCGGCGCCCCCUCGCCCGGAGACAGCUGUCCUCUUGCAGGGUCUGCCGUGCUGGAGGGAAGGCUGCUGUUGGAGUCUCUUAAUGGCUUUGCUCUGGUCGUGAGUGCAGAAGGGACGAUAUUUUAUGCAUCAGCAACGAUCGUGGACUAUCUGGGCUUCCAUCAGACGGAUGUAAUGCACCAGAACAUUUAUGACUACAUCCACGUGGACGACCGCCAGGACUUCUGCCGGCAGCUCCACUGGGCCAUGGACCCUCCCCAGGUGGUGUUUGGGCAGCCCCCGCCCUUGGAGACAGGAGAUGAUGCUAUCCUGGGGAGGCUGCUCAGGGCCCAGGAGUGGGGCACAGGCACGCCCACCGAGUACUCGGCCUUCCUGACCCGCUGCUUCAUCUGCCGUGUGCGCUGCCUGCUGGACAGCACCUCGGGCUUCCUGGCCCGGGGGUCACAGGCUUGGCAGCUGCGGCUCUGCUGUCCCGAGCCACUCAUGACGAUGCAGUUUCAAGGAAAACUAAAAUUCCUGUUUGGACAGAAGAAGAAGGCGCCGUCAGGAGCCAUGCUCCCGCCGCGGCUGUCGCUGUUCUGCAUUGCGGCACCCGUUCUCCUCCCCUCCGCAGCGGAGAUGAAAAUGAGGAGCGCGCUCCUGAGGGCAAAACCCAGAGCAGACACCGCAGCCACCGCGGAUGCAAAAGUAAAAGCCACCACCAGUCUGUGCGAAUCGGAACUGCAUGGAAAACCCAAUUACUCAGCAGGAAGGAGCAGCAGAGAGAGCGGCGUUUUGGUGCUCAGGGAACAGACUGACGCUGGCCGAUGGGCACAGGUUCCCGCCAGGGCCCCAUGCCUGUGCCUCCGGGGUGGCCCUGACCUUGUCCUUGACCCCAAGGGGGGCUCAGGGGACAGGGAGGAGGAGCAGCACAGGAUGCUGAGCAGGGCCUCUGGAGUGACAGGGCGGAGGGAGACUCCAGGACCCACAAAGCCCCUGCCCUGGACAGCGGGAAAGCACAGUGAGGAUGGUGCCAGGCCGAGGCUGCAGCCCAGCAAGAAUGACCCGCCCUCCCUGCGCCCCAUGCCCCGCGGCUCCUGCCUGCCCUGCCCGUGUGUCCAGGGCACUUUCAGGAACUCGCCCAUCUCUCACCCGCCGAGCCCGUCCCCCAGUGCCUACUCCAGCCGGACCAGCAGACCCAUGCGGGAUGUCGGUGAGGACCAGGUGCACCCUCCCCUCUGCCACUUUCCCCAGAGGAGCCUGCAGCACCAGCUCCCUCAGCCUGGAGCUCAGCGUUUUGCCACGAGGGGCUAUCCCAUGGAGGACAUGAAGCUGCAAGGUGUACCGAUGCCUCCGGGGGACCUGUGUGGUCCGACGCUGCUGCUAGAUGUGUCCAUCAAGAUGGAGAAGGACUCUGGGUGUGAGGGUGCUGCAGACGGCUGUGUGCCCAGCCAGGUGUGGCUGGGGGCCAGUGACAGGAGCCACCCAGCCACCUUCCCUACCAGGAUGCACCUGAAAACAGAGCCAGACUCUCGGCAACAGGUGUACAUCUCGCACCUGGGGCACGGCGUGCGGGGGGCUCAGCCCCAUGGGAGGGCCACUGCUGGGCGCAGCAGGGAGCUGACCCCUUUCCACCCUGCACACUGUGCCUGCCUGGAGCCCACAGACGGCCUUCCCCAGUCGGAGCCUCCCCACCAGCUCUGUGCACGGGGCCGAGGUGAACAGUCCUGCACCUGCAGAGCUGCUGAGGCCGCCCCUGUGGUCAAGCGGGAGCCCUUGGACUCACCCCAGUGGGCUACUCACAGCCAGGGAAUGGUGCCCGGGAUGUUGCCCAAAAGUGCCUUGGCCACGCUGGUCCCGCCCCAAGCUUCGGGGUGCACAUUCCUGCCAUAGCGCAGUGACCACCAUCCAAGCUCAGAUCUGUGUGUCUACGCUCAGAUGCGUCGGUGGCUGGGCUGCCCUGCUCCUGGUCAGGCCGGAGCCCGUCCUAAGACACACGCUUUGCAGAGCUGUGCAUGCGCAGUCUGCUAGUGUGUGUGUGCAGCAUACGCAGGAGCCUAUCCUGAAUUUUGUAAAAUAUCCCAACAGUUCUUAAAUGAAAACUGGCCUUAAGUCUAUUCAAGCAUGACAGCAUUUCUCUUUGAGGAAUUAAAAUCUUUAGGAAAGUGAUCAUGGCUGGACAGCUUCAUGCCCCAGAGGCAGCGAGCACCCGUCCCAUGGCUGCCAAGUCCACAGUCGGGGAUGAAGCAGUCGGGUGAUGCUCCCAAGUCCGCAGUCGGGGAUGAAGCGGUCGGGUGAUGCUCCCAAGUCCGCAGUCGGGGAUGAAGCGGUCGGGUGACACACCUAGCUCAGCCCUCCCAGGCCACCUGCAGCUCCCAGCCUGUGCUGUGCAGGCAGGGUCAGCCCAUCGCCACAGUGCACUGUAGAGGCCAGCACACGGCAAAUUAGAAAUACAACACGCGGAGAAAGGGGUCCGUGAGCCCACUCAUAGAGGAAUCUAGAACGUUCCAGGCAGCAGAGGCUGGCAGCGUGGGUCCCACACUGCCCCACACCGUGCGGCAGGUGCUCCAUGGCGCCAUGACAGAGUCUGAGGCCAGACCUGGACUGGAAUUGACAGCAUAACCCCUGUUCCUUCUGGACAUCUCCCGAGUUCUCAGUGGGUCUCUGCGGACGGUUCUUCCUAAUCUGCCUCUUGGUACAUCACGUAAUACAGAGUUCACAGACUCCGGGUUUGGAAGUACAGAGAAACACACAACGUAGAGAGAAGACACAGGAAACUGCGCUGCCUGUGGGGGUUUCUCUCUGGCUGGCUGUACAGUUCACUCAAAUGAGGGUUCCCAUUGCCAUCCUAGGAGAAUAAUUAGGGACAAGACAGACAAGUAUUAAUAGCAUUAAAACAGUUGUAAAGGCGAUAUUUUCUGAGAGUAGGAAAUUUGGAUACAAAAGCAUAAGUCAGAAAGUGAAGGUCACCAAUCCACCAACCCGAGAACCUACAGCUGAUGGUGCAUUUCAGGCUUCUUCCACGGUCUGGCCUGGAACCCCACCCGGCUGGUGCAGGCAUCAGAUCAGGGUGUAGAAGUCACCCCAAGCAAGAGGAAGCCAGGCAGUGAGGCCCUGGGGUGUGGCUGCAGCUGGGCCCACCUGUGCGGGGGUGGGAAGGCCCCAUCCUCAGGGAGAGGGCAUCGGCGCCCUGACGUCAGCUCCACUGGGAGUGGCAGGAGCUGUGGGAGCCCAUGGGUGAGGGACCCACCACCCCGCUGCACUGUGCAUUGUGCCUCCCGUGUGGACGCCCUCUCUGUUGUUGGCCCGCGGGUGAGGGACCCACCACCCCUAGGGACCCACCACCCCGCCGCACUGUGCAUUCUGCCUCCUGUGUGGACGCCCUCUCUGUUGUCAGUGGCUUUGAGGUGUCAGUGCUUACUUAGAUGCUGGUUUAAUGCUGGACCCAUUUGUUAAACGCACCUUCACUUUGUCAAAACCCAGGUUUGGUUGGCAGGACUGGGUCUUCUGCCCAAUGCCAGGUGCCUGCGCCUCUCAGUGGCCUGGUUCUUGGACAGUUUGCCCCCAUGUGGCAGGGAUAGGGAUAAGGAUCUCCUCUCAGUACUGGAAGAGAACAGCCAACCAUCUGAGCCCAGAGUCACAGAUCCAUCGUGGCCCCCUAUGACCCCCAAGCCCUACCGAGGGGGCACUCACUCUCUGCUUAGCCAGGGGGCGUCUUUCAAAAGGUGACCUCCAUGCUGUGCUGUCGUGGGUGUGAGACGUGCUCAUGGCCUUCCACUGCCAUCUCUCCCUUAUCUGAUGCCUAAAGUCACGAUGGGGACAGAGCUACCCAGGGGCCAGCCAUGGGGUGACCAGCCACCUGAGGGUCAGUCACCUGUGGAGAGCAGGCACCUGUGAAGACCAGGCACCUGAGGACUGGCGCCUACUUCCCACUUUGGCCCUACACUGGCACAGAGCCCCUCUUUAUUCAUUUCUCAUGCUGAGCAUGGCACACUUCUGGCCUCUGGGCAUUUAUGGAUUUAAGACCAGGAUGGUAUUUCAGAAGCUUCCCACUUCCUUCCUAUUCUAACCGAGUGCCCAGCUCCUUUGCUGAUCAUGGAAAGACCCUUAAUAAUUAGGCCUGCAGGCCAGGCGCAGUGGCUCAUGCCUAUAAUCCCAGCACUUUAGGAGGUCAAGGUAGGAGGAUCGCUUAAGCCCAGGAGUUCAAGACCAGCCUGGGCAACACAGGAAGAAUGUGUCUCUACAAAAAAUAAUUAAAAAUCAGAUCUGCUGUAUCCCUGAAAAAGUCUCAAUCAACAUGCAUGUUCCACUCUUGGAGUUCCCUGUUCUGAGGGCCAGCCACGUCCUGUGUCCUGGAGCUUAGCCCUCAGCAGCUCCCUUCAGCCUGGGCGCCGCCUGGGUCCCAAACGUGGCAGCUGCUCUUCCAGUCUCGGGGCCGAGGAGGGCAGGGAGCUCAGUGACUGAGAGUCUUGUGUAUCACAUGUCUUGAGUGUCCUGGAGCCAACGGCUGUCACUGGGAAAAACACCAGGCCCCAAAGAUCGAAUCAGAGACGUGGCUGCGUGUUUGCGAUUGUAGCCAGGCCCUUCAGUGUCAUCAAAGGAGCACUGGGGCCUCCUUAAGCACAGACGGCAGCCCCUGCCCAGGAGGCUUCUUCACCACGUCCUGCCCUGCAGCCUCCCAGACCUUUAGAUGCGCCCCUGCCCAAGGCCCUCCUGGUGACAGGUGCCAGAUUGAGUGGUGGGUUGCUGCCAGGCAGGCCACGCUGUGUUGACGCUGCACUCAGCACGUGGGUGUUGGCUCUGCCGGUUUUGUGGUGUGGGGACCCUACAGGAGGCUGCGGCCCUGAGAGCCUGGGAUCAGCGAGGUGUCCGACAUCCCUUCCUCAACGGCAACAAAAACUCCCCAAGUCAGCACUUUGGUUAUUUUAUAGCCACAACCCUCUUGGAAAACAGUGGGGAAGACUAUGGAACAUAGAAAGUGUGGAUGUAUCACUUCUCUCUAAAAUGUCAUUGUUAGCACUAAUUACAGGUUCAUGUUUUUCUGUGUAUGUAGCUUUUCCCUAUAUAGCUGAAAAAGUAUUAAAGUCAAAUAUAAGGUGGGAAUGGGAUGGAAGGGAGGAGAUCAAUACAACUUAUAUUUUUGCAGUUUCUACUGGAAGAAAAAAGUUUUCAAUACCUAGACCAACUUGUUGAAUUUUUAAAACUUAUGCACUAUAAAUGCAACUUUCUCUACUGCUUUCUCAGUGCCUUUAGGAAGCUUUCAAAUUUUUUUGUACUGUGGUUUGUAUUAAAUUUGCAAUAUUGAUGUAAAAUACAUGACAUGCUAGUACAUGUUUAACAAAAA